GAAGGUAUAGCUCAGCAGUAGAGCGCAUGCUUACCAUGCACGAGGUCCUGGGUUCAUUCCCCAAUACUUCCA
rnacentral:tRNA from 1 species